CUGCAAUUUGGAAUUCUAUUUUUUUUUUUUUACAAAAAGUGUUUUUUGUUUUUGUUUUUUGAAAUUUUAGCAAGCACUUAAGCUGGUUGGACAUAAACUGCUGUUUUUCAGGUGAUAUUUUCUUUUUCUUUUUUCUUUUUAUUUGAGACAGAGUUUCACUCUGUCACCCAGGCUGGAGUGCAGUGAUGCAAUCUUGGCUAACUGCAACAUCCACCUCCUGGGUUCAGAUGAUUCUCGUGCCUCACCCUCACAAGUAGCUGGGAUUACAGACAUGCUAAUUUUUGUAUUUUUAGAAGAAACGAGGUUUCGCCUUAUAGGCCAGACUAGUCUUGAACUCCUGACCUCCAGUGAUCUGCACUCCUCGGCCUCCCAAAGUGCUGGGAUUACAGGCAAGGGCCACUGCGCCUGGCCCAGAUAUUUUCCAUUUUAAUUCAAAUAUUCUGUCUUUAUCUGGGCUUCUUUUUAUUUACUUAUAUUUAUUUAUUUAUUUUGUAGAGAUGGAGUUUCAUCAUGUAGCCCGGGCUGGUCUUGAACUCCUUGGAUCACACAAUUCACCUGCCUCAGCCUUCCAAAGUGCUGGGACUAUAGGCAAGAGGCACCACAACUGGCCUUAUCUGAGCUUCUUAGUAUGUGCUCCAUCCAUGCAUCAUUCAGAGGUUGAGCAUCCCAAAUCUCAAAAGCUCCAAAACCCAAAAUUUUUGGACACUGACUGGACCCUCAAAGGAAAUGGUCAUUGAAGCACUUCAGAUUUCAGAUUCAUCGACUUGGAAUGCUCAACUAGAGCAGUUUGCUCUCUCCCAUCAAGACCACUUCCUGCAAAAAGCUGGGACCAAGAGGCUGCAGGAGGGCCAGCAGCUCCUAACAGGCUGGGUGAGGGGCUGCCAGGUGAUGAAUGGAUGCAUGUGGAGCAAGGUAAUAAACCAGCACCCCAGUCAUGUAAUCUUCCAUUAAAAUGAAAUGCAUACCAGGCAUGCGGUGCUUCUGCAG
rnacentral:lncRNA from 1 species